ensembl:lncRNA
AUGACAGUAGAUGGUAGACCAGAAUAAUAUAAUGACAGUAGAGGGUAGACCAGGGUAAUAUAAUGACAGUAGAUGGUAGACCAGGGUAAUAUAAUGACAUUAGAUGGUAGACCAGGGUAAUAUAAUGACAGUAGAUGGUAGACCAGGGUAAUAUAAUGACAGUAGAUGGUAGACCAGGGUAAUAUAAUGACAGGAGAGACCAGGGUAAUAUAAUGACAGUAGAUGGUAGACCAGGGUAAUAUAAUGACAGUAGAUGGUAGAACAGGGUAAUAUAAUGACAGUAGAUGGUAGUCCAGGGUUGUAUAAUUACAGUGGAUGGUAGACCAGGGUAAUAUAAUGACAGUAGAGACCAGGGUAAUAUAAUGACAGUAGAUGGGAGACCAGGGGAGAGUAGGGUAAUAUAAUGACAGUAGAUGGUAGACCAGGGUAAUAUAAU